rnacentral:rRNA from 1 species
UAAGACGAACCGUGCGAACGUUGUUCGGAAUCACUGGGCUUAAAGGGCGCGUAGGCGGGUGUGCAAGUCUGCGGUGAAAGCCUCCAGCUUAACUGGAGAAGUGCCGUGGAUACUGCAUAUCUUGAGGAGGGUAGGGGCAUCUGGAACGGUCGGUGGAGCGGUGAAAUGCGUUGAUAUCGACCGGAACUCCGGUGGCGAAGGCGAGGUGCUGGACCCUUUCUGACGCUGAGGCGCGAAAGCCAGGGGAGCAAACGGGAUUAGAUACCCCGGUAGUCCUGGCCCUAAACGUUGAGGACUAGGUUGUGGACUUAACAUGGGUUCACAGCCGGAGCAAAAGUGCUAAGUCCUCCGCCUGGGGAGUAUGGUCGCAAGGCUG